rnacentral:rRNA from 1 species
UGGGGAAUAUUGCGCAAUGGGGGCAACCCUGACGCAGCAACGCCGCGUGAUUGAAGAAGGCCUUCGGGUUGUAAAGAUCUUUAAUUGGGGACGAAAGAAAUGACGGUACCCAAAGAAUAAGCUCCGGCUAACUACGUGCCAGCAGCCGCGGUAAUACGUAGGGAGCAAGCGUUAUCCGGAUUUACUGGGUGUAAAGGGCGAGUAGGCGGGCUGGCAAGUUGGGAGUGAAAUCCCGGGGCUUAACCCCGGAACUGCUUUCAAAACUGCUGGUCUUGAGUGAUGGAGAGGCAGGCGGAAUUCCGU